GAAAUGCGAUACGUAAUGUGAAUUGCAGAUCCGUGACUCAUCGAAAUUUUGAACGCACAUUGCACCUAGUGGCAUUCCGCUAGGUAUGCUUGUUUGAGGGUCUGUUUAUUUUCUCUUGAACGUGAAAAUCGCAAGGUUUUUACGGCUCAAGGACUUGGUCUUGUGGAAAUUUAAUUUCCACUUGGCUUUAAUUCAGACCGUGGUCUUUAAAUCCCACGCUUUUAGCGGCGAGGGGUGCUAGACAUAUCCAUAUCAGCCAACUUGUUGGUUUACCUUGGGUAAGUUCUACACUCUGGACGCAAAAAUGCAUGGUUUUUUUACUUGGACCCCAUCGGGAAGAAAAACCUAGUUUUUUAAAACCCACUUGGACCUCAAAUCAAGCAAGGCUACCCGCUGAACU
rnacentral:misc_RNA from 1 species